rnacentral:rRNA from 1 species
AGAAUCAACGCUGGCGGCGUGCCUAACACAUGCAAGUCGCACGAGAAAGGGACUUCGGUCCUGAGUAAAGUGGCGCACGGGUGAGUAACACGUGAAUUAUCUACCUCCGAGUGGGGAAUAACUGAGAGAAAUCUUAGCUAAUACCGCAUAACACUUACGAGUCAAAGCAGUAAUGCGCUGGAAGAGGGGGUCGCGGCUGAUUAGCUAGUUGGCGGGUAAUCGGCCCACAAGGCGAAGAUCGGUA